UCUUAGUGGCCGGCAAUCAGUUGGGCACUGUAAGGUGACUGCCGGUGACAAACCGGAGGAAGGUGGGGAUGACGUCAAAUCAUCAUGCCCCUUAUGACCUGGGCUACACACGUGCUACAAUGGACAGAACAAAGGGCUGCAAGACCGCAAGGUUUAGCCAAUCCCAUAGAUCUGUUCUCAGUUCGGAUCGCAGUCUGCAACUCGACUGCGUGAAGCUGGAAUCGCUAGUAAUCGCGGAUCAGCAUGCCGCGGUGAAUACGUUCCCGGGCCUUGUACACACCGCCCGUCACGACCACGAGAGUUUGCAACACCCGAAGUCGGUG
rnacentral:rRNA from 1 species